AAGCCCGAACGGAUGUUCGGGCUUUCAGCUUUAAGCCAGUUAUUAAAACCCCUUUUGAUUUGUUAAAACAUCUUGCGGUCUGGCAACUGCAAAAGUUCAACAAGAAAUCAAAAG
rnacentral:sRNA from 1 species